rnacentral:rRNA from 1 species
AUGACGACGCUGUUGCCCGGACAUGUCCUAGGGUUUCCCCCGGGCAAAGUGAUCAGGACCAAGAGUGUGGAGUACAUGCCAUUCUUCCUGUCUCUGGUGAACUUCCUCAACGGUUGCUGCUGGACAGGCUAUGCGCUCAUCAAGUUUGACAUCUACAUCACGAUCCCCAAUGGCCUCGGUACAAUCUUCGGCCUCAUUCAGCUGAUCCUCUACUUUUACUACCACAGAUCAACCCUCAAGAAGGGCAAGAACGUCGAACUGCCCACUGUCCUCACAAAAAACGCCAUUACCAGCGGCAACGUCUCCGUCACCGUUGAGAAAUAA